GGUCGUGCACGCCCGAGCGCUCUCACACAAUCCAUCUCACCCCUUGUGCAUCACCGCGUGGGUCCCCCCUUGCGGGAGGGCUCGCGUUUUUACAUAAAACUCGAUACAGUCUGGGAUGUUUUAUUUUUGCGUUCACACGCAAUCAAUACAACUUUCAACAACGGAUCUCUUGGCUCUCGCAUCGAUGAAGAACGCAGCGAAAUGCGAUACGUAAUGUGAAUUGCAGAAUUCAGUGAAUCAUCGAAUCUUUGAACGCACCUUGCGCCCCUUGGCAUUCCGAGGGGCACACCCGUUUGAGUGUCGUGAAAUUCUCAAAACCCUUUUCUUUGAUCGGAAUAGGACUUUUGGACUUGGAGGUUCAAUGCUCGCUUUCGCCUUUGAAAGCGAGCUCCUCUCAAAUGAAUUAGUGGGGUCCGCUUUGCUGAUCCUUGACGUGAUAAGAUGUUCUACG
rnacentral:rRNA from 1 species